UCUUUGCUCAACUUUUUCUUUUGAUCCACUUUCUAUAAUACAACACAUUUUCCUUUCUUAUUCUGAACAUUGUUUUCUUACAUAGGCUGCUAGGAUUCAAGCUCCUACAGAGCAGUGAAGCUUUCUGUUUUGGUUGCUGAACAGUAGGAAUCAUUUUAAACAAUCAGCAUUCUAUAGAUAGGACUUCCUGGCCAGCUGCAUUUAUUCCUGUCAUUUGAAUAACUCUGUCCUUCCACAAAACAUGGGGUUGAGGACCAGGACUCUAGAAUUUUGAGAAGAAAAUAAACUUCAGCUGAUCAGAGUGAUCUUCUAUACUUUAUCUAUUUGGAUUAGAUAAAAGGGCCCAAUGAGACUUGUUUAUGUCUUCCAAAUAAGCUGGCAAGAUUGUAAAUGUGCAUUACAAUCUAAAAGAAGGGUAAGGAAAAAAAAUUGCCAACAUCAAGGUGAAUCCAUUGUCUUUGCUUCAAAGACAACACUAAUAUUCCCCUUAUGGUUAAUUUGCAGAGAAAACAAACACAAAUCUUCAAAGGUCAUACUUCAAUGUUAAGAUG